rnacentral:rRNA from 1 species
UGCCGAGAAAAGCCUCUAAGGAGUGGAAUGGGUACCCGUACCGCAAACCGACACAGGUAGGCGAGGAGAAAAUCCUAAGGCCCAAGUGUGAUCCCCCGUUUAGGAACUCGGCAAAUUGGCCCCGUAACUUCGGAAGAAGGGGUGCUCUUGCUUGUCAUCCGGCUUGCCCGGAGAAGCGAACGAGAGUUGCAAUAAAGAGGCUCAGGCGACUGUUUACUAAAAACACAGGGCUCUGCGAAGUCGAAUACGACGUAUAGGGUCUGACGCCUGCCCGGUGCCGGAAGGUUAAAGAGAGGGGUUAGCCGCAAGGCGAAGCUCUGAACUGAAGCCCCGGUAAACGGCGGCCGUAACUAUAACGGUCCUAAGGUAGCGAAAUUCCUUGUCGGGUAAGUUCCGACCUGCACGAAUGGCGUAACGAUCUGAGCGCUGUCUCAACGGGGAGCACUGCGAAUUUGUGGUACCGGUGAAGACGCCGGUUGCCCGUCACAAGACGAAAAGACCCCGUGCACCUUUACUACAUCCUAGUAGUGAAUGCUGGCGCAGUAUGCGCAGGAUAGGUGGGAGGCUUUGAACUCAGGCUUUCGGGCUUGGGGGAGCCAACGGUGAGAUACCACCCUUACUGCUCCGGCGUUCUAACCUCGUUCUGUUAUCCAGAUCAGGGACACUGCUAGGUGGGUAGUUUGACUGGGGCGGUCGCCUCCUAAACUGUAACGGAGGCGCUCGAAGGUUCGCUCAGGCUGUUUGGAAAUCAGCCAUAGAGUGCAAAGGCAUAAGCGAGCUUGACUGCGAGACCUACAAGUCGAGCAGGUGGGAAACCAGGACUUAGUGAUCCGGUGGUUCCGCAUGGAAGGGCCAUCGCUCAACGGAUAAAAGGUACGCCGGGAUAACAGGCUGAUCUGAGCCAAGAGUCCACAUCGACGCUCAGGUUUGGCACCUCGAUGUCGGCUCAUCGCAUCCUGGAGCUGUAGCAGGUUCCAAGGGUCCGGCUGUUCGCCGGUUAAAGCGGUACGUGAGCUGGGUUUAGAACGUCGCGAGACAGUUCGGUCUCUAUCUGUGAUGGGCGCAGGAGAUUUGAGUGGGGCUGACCUUAGUACGAGAGGACCGGGUUGGACGAACCUCUAGUGUAUCGGUUGUCACGCCAGUGGCAGUGCCGAGUAGCUACGUUCGGAAGGGAGAAACGCUGAAGGCAUCUAAGCGUGAAACCCUCCACGAGAUGAGAUCUCCCAGGGCAUAAGCCCUCUGAAGGCUCCUGGUAGACGACCAGGUUGAUAGGCCAGGUGUGGAAGCGCAGCGAUGCGUUAAGCUAACUGGUACUAAUUAGCCGUGAGGCUUGACCAA